GAUGAACGCUGGCGGCGUGCCUAAUACAUGCAAGUCGAGCGAACAGACGCGGACCUUGCUCCUCUAACGUUGACGGCGGAAGGGUGAGUAAAAUGAGGUUCCCCUACCUUUAGGAUUGGGCUAACUUCGUGAAACUGAUGCUAAUUCCGGAUACUUUCUGCAACGGCAUGGUUCAAUAGCUAAGGCCGUUUUUGCUGUACCUUAUAGCUGUAUCCGCGCCGCAUUAGUUAGUUGGUAAGGUAACGGCUUACAAAGGCAACGAUGCGUAGCCGACCUGAGAGGGUGAUCGGCCACACUGGAAGUGAGACACGGUCCAGACUCCUACGGGAGGCAGCAGUAGGGAAUCUUCGGAGAUGGGCGAAAGACUGACGGAGCAACGCCGCGUGAGUGAUGAAGGUCUUCGGAUCGUAAAACUCUGUUAUUAGGGAAGAACAAAUGUGUAAGUAACUAUGCACGUCUUGACGGUACCUAAUCAGAAAGCCACGGCUAACUACGUG
rnacentral:rRNA from 1 species